rnacentral:lncRNA from 1 species
GUCAUCUUGAGUGCUGAUGGUGGCCAUAGUCAUAAAACUUGUUUGUAUAAUAAUGUACAUAUUUUAUUUCAUGUUCCUUUUUCAGGAGAAUGUUCUCUCUGCCAAGGUCAGUGACUCCAUGAUAAUUAGAAAUGGCAUGAUUCCAGGAAGCAAAAAUGUCUCUGGUGAUCCUCACCAAUAUGGUGAUACUGUGACCUUCAGGACCCCUUAAGACUGUGGGAAAGAACUCUGAAAACAUGAGUUCAACAGAUGUUCAAGAAUAUAUAAGUCAGUGUAAGAGCUGUCCUUUACAGGAUUUCUCAACUAUGCAAAAUAUAAAGAUGCAAUAUAAAUUGUAUGAGGGGCUUCACAAACCUGAAAGAACAGAGAUAGCCGCACUAAUGAAUGAGCUCUGUCAGAAAGAUACUAAAGAAGAAGACAAUGAUUUGGUCAAUAGACAAACAAAAACAAAAACAAAAACAAAGCAAAACAAAGCAAAAAACCCUGGAUCACAAAAGAGAAAGGAAUAGUUAAAAAUAAGGAUCAGAUAAUAGUGGAAAAUGGUUAUCUCCUCCACAGAAGAUAUCAACAACUAAAUUUGAUCCCGAUAUUUUACUUCCUAAGGGAGGUAGUUAUAUGUGCAAUCCAAAUAGAGGUUGGGGACAGGCAAAAGUCUGGUGUCAAGAAAAAAGAUGAUGGCUUGAUAAUAUUUCUACUGUUGAGCAUCACUUAAUAAUAAGCCUUGGAGUUCCUGAGAUAAAGAAGAAAAAAAAUCCAAAGAUUAAAAAGAAUAUAUUGAGGUAGCUAAGAACUAUAAAAAUGAGCUUCAAUGCUGCUUAUAUCAGCAUAAGCAAGAGCUCUC